CAAACAUGAUGGCCCCAGAAAUACGGCCGUUCACUGUUACACCUGGCAUCACUGUAACAGUGGACGACUGCGAGCCAAUUCGUUUUUUUGAGCUAUUUAUGUCGGACGAUGUAUUUGAGCUCAUGGCUCAGCAAACUAAUUUGUUUGCCAUGCAGUAUCUCUCUGCACAUCCGGGGUCCCAUUAUAGUCGUACGAAUAUGUGGAGACUCACGGAUGUUGCAGAGAUGAAGUGGU